rnacentral:rRNA from 1 species
CCUACGGGGGGCAGCAGUGGGGAAUAUUGGACAAUGGGCGAAAGCCUGAUCCAGCCAUGCCGCGUGUGUGAAGAAGGCCUUCGGGUUGUAAAGCACUUUCAGUGGGGAAGAAAGCCUUGGGGCUAAUACCCUCGAGGAAGGACAUCACCCACAGAAGAAGCACCGGCUAACUCCGUGCCAGCAGCCGCGGUAAUACGGAGGGUGCGAGCGGUAAUCGGAAUUACUGGGCGUAAAGCGCGCGUAGGCGGUCUGAUAAGCCGGUUGUGAAAGCCCCGGGCUCAACCUGGGAACGGCAUCCGGAACUGUCAGGCUAGAGUGCAGGAGAGGAAGGUAGAAUUCCCGGUGUAGCGGUGAAAUGCGUAGAGAUCGGGAGGAAUACCAGUGGCGAAGGCGGCCUUCUGGACUGACACUGACGCUGAGGUGCGAAAGCGUGGGUAGCAAACAGGAUUAGAUACCCUAGUAGUC